rnacentral:rRNA from 1 species
CUGUCACUCCUACGGGAGGCAGCAGUGGGGGAAUAUUGCACAAGUGGGCGCAAGCCUGAGUGCAGCCAUGCCGCGUGUGUGAAGAAGGCCUUCGGGUUAGUAAAGCACUUUCAGUCGUGAGGAAGGUGGUAGUGUUAAUAGCACUAUCAUUUGACGUUAGCGACAGAAGAAGCACCGGCUAACUCCGUGCCAGCAGCCGCGGUAAUACGGAGGGUGCGAGCGUUAAUCGGAAUUACUGGGCGUAAAAGCGCAUGCAGGUGGUUGUUAAGUCAGAUGUGAAAGCCCGGGGCUCAACCUCGGAAUAGCAUUUGAAACUGGCAGACUAGAGUACUGUAGAGGGGGUAGAAUUUCAGGUGUAGCGGUGAAAAUGCGUAGAGAUCUGAAGGAAUACCGGUGGCGAAGGCGGCCCCCUGGACAGAUACUGACACUCAGAUGCGAAAGCGUGGGGAGCAAACAGGAUUAGAUACCCUGGUAG